rnacentral:rRNA from 1 species
GAUGCUAAUACCGGAUAACAACACUAGACGCGUGUCUAGAGUUUAAAAGAUGGUUCUGCUAUCACUCUUGGAUGGACCUGCGGUGCAUUAGCUAGUUGGUAAGGUAACGGCUUACCAAGGCAAUGAUGCAUAGCCGAGUUGAGAGACUGAUCGGCCACAUUGGGACUGAGACACGGUCCAAACUCCUACGGGAGGCAGCAGCG